UAGUCAUAUGCUUGUCUCAAAGAUUAAGCCAUGCAUGUCUAAGUAUAAACUGCUUAUACGGCGAAACUGCGAAUGGCUCAUUAAAUCAGUUAGAGUUUAUUUGAUGGUACCUUACUACUCGGAUAACCGUAGUAAAGCUACAGCUAAUACGUGCGCAGAUCCCGACUCACGAAGGGACGUAUUUAUUAGAUUCAAGACCGACCGUGCUUGCACGCUCUUGGUGAAUCAUGGUAACUUCACGAAUCGCACGGCCUCGUGCCGGCGAUGUUUCAUUCAACUUUCUGCCCUAUCAACUUUCGACGGUAGUAUAGAGGACUACCGUGGUAGUAACGGGUGACGGAGAAUUAGGGUUCGAUUCCGGAGAGGGAGCCUGAGAAACGGCUACCACAUCCAAGGAAGGCAGCAGGCGCGCAAAUUACCCAAUCCUGACACAGGGAGGUAGUGACAAAAAAUAUCAAUACUGGGCCUCAUGGUCCGGUAAUUGGAAUGAGUACAAUCUAAAUCCGUUAACGAGGAUCCAUUGGAGGGCAAGUCUGGUGCCAGCAGCCGCGGUAAUUCCAGCUCCAAUAGCGUAUAUUUAAGUUGUUGCAGUUAAAAAGCUCGUAGUUGGAUUUCGGGUGGGCUACGCCGGUCUCCUAACGGUUGUACUGGCGACGCCCGCCUUGCUGCCGGGGACGGGCUCCCGCCUUAAUUGUCGGGACCCGGAAUCGGCGACGUUACUUUGAGUAAAUUAGAGUGUUCAAAGCAAGCCUACGCUCUGAAUAUAAUAGCAUGGGAUAACACGACAGGACUCUGGCCUAUCGUGUUGGUCUGUAGGACCAGAGUAAUGAUUAAGAGGGACAGUCGGGGGCAUCCGUAUUCCGUUGUCAGAGGUGAAAUUCUUGGAUUUACGGAAGACGAACAUCUGCGAAAGCAUUUGCCAAGGAUGUUUUCAUUGAUCAAGAACGAAAGUUAGGGGCUUGAAGACGAUUAGAUACCGUCGUAAUCCUAACCAUAAACGAUGCCGACUAGGGAUUGGCGGAAGUUCUUUUGAUGACUCCGCCAGCACCUCAUGAGAAAUCAAAGUUUUUGGGUUCCGGGGGGAGUAUGGUCGCAAGGCUGAAACUUAAAGGAAUUGACGGAAGGGCACCACCAGGCGUAAACCUACGGCCGUACAUUUGGCUCUGCGCCAGUCGAGGUGUGAACGGCCCAUUCACUUGAAGCGCCUCGGCUAGUCACUGCAGCACUUGUGUGCGCAGCUGCAGCGGCGACAUCAUCGAAUUGCUGGAAACCCCUAAAGCUCUGCGUACCAAGUGCUUGUCGAAAGACAAGUGCGGCUUCAUUCAGGAGAGGUCACAACCGCAAGAGAUGAGACAAUGGGCAAUCAGCAGCGAAGCUCCUUCCUCUCUCUAAAGAGAUGGAGAACGUUCAGAGACUAAGCGGUGAUGGGCUCUUUGCAGCCUAAGAUAUAGUCCAAGCCCCAGCGAAAGCUGAUGCAGAGAUGAGGGGAGCGCAACCCCAGAGCUCUGCAGUAGGGAUACAAGACAGUCUCUUGUUUAUUGUAAACAGGGAGCCUGCGGCUUAAUUUGACUCAACACGGGAAAACUUACCAGGUCCAGACAUGCGAAGGAUUGACAGAUUGAAAGCUCUUUCUUGAUUGUAUGGGUGAACACCACUGCCCAAGAGAGUGAGGCGAAAGCCUGCGCUAGUCAAACCCUGUCCGCUAUUGCAAGGGCAAGGGCUAGGCAAGACCGUUGAAUUGCGGGAAACUCCUAAAGCUCACAACACCACAGCAUUUGGGCAACCAAUUGCUUGCCAGGGUAAUGACCUCGGAUGGUAAAAGCGUGUGAGAUGUGCAAUGGACGAUCCGCAGCCAAGCUUCCAUUUUGAAUCAGUUCAAGUGGUAGAAGGUUCAGAGACUAGGUAGCGGUCGGCCUGCUAAACGAGCAGGCUUAAGAUAUAGUCCGGCUCUGCCGAAAGGCAGCCGCAGGAUGAAAGGCGCCAGCAGCGCUCGGAGCCUGCGGGAGUAGAUACCGCGGUUAUGGUUAGAUACCGCUCUGGUAUCGUGCUUGGAGUAUUCGGGUGGUGCAUGGCCGUUCUUAGUUGGUGGGUUGCCUUGUCAGGUUGAUUCCGGUAACGAACGAGACCUCAGCCUGCUAAAUAGUUUCUUCUGCUCCGGCAGUCGACUAUCUUCUUAGAGGGACUGUUGGCGUCUAGCCAAUGGAAGUAUGAGGCAAUAACAGGUCUGUGAUGCCCUUAGAUGUUCUGGGCCGCACGCGCGCUACACUGACACGUUCAACAAGUUCCUUGUCCGAAAGGUCUGGGUAAUCUUUGAAACCGUGUCGUGAUGGGGAUAGAACAUUGCAAUUAUUGUUCUUCAACGAGGAAUGCCUAGUAAGCGCGAGUCAUCAUCUCGCGUUGAUUACGUCCCUGCCCUUUGUACACACCGCCCGUCGCUCCUACCGAUUGAACGUGCUGGUGAAGCGUUAGGACUGGACUGUUGGCUAGGUUUCCUGGCCGGCAGUUCGGGAAUUGCGUUAAACCCUCCCGUUUAGAGGAAGGAGAAGUCGUAACAAGGUCUCCGUUAAAGAAUCAAUUUCACCAGCGGACAAGAGGGCCAGUAAAAGCUGUCAUGCCCUAGUGAGAUGAAUCGUCUCGCAACACUGUCAAAUUGCCGGAAAGUCUUGCGAUGCCAGUGGUACCGUUGUCUUCACGAAAGUCAAGGCAAUGCCAUGGUGAAAGUCAUGAGCGUGGUAAUAAUCUACUGGAUAGAGAUGAUCGGCAGCCAAGCUCUAAGGUGACACUCUCUUUUAUCGAGUGCGCUAUGAGUGCAGUCCACAGACUAGAUGGCAGUGGGUCCUAUGGGCUUAAGAUAUAGUCGGCCCCUACCGAGAGGUAGUCUUCAAGAGGACUGAGCAUGCGUCUCAUGAGAGCUUGAAGAGGUAAGCAAUAAUAGAAUGUGCUGCAAGGUGCAUUCGGCUUCACGCCUGCUUGCCGGAACCAG
rnacentral:rRNA from 1 species